rnacentral:tRNA from 2 species
GGCAACAUGGCCGAGUGGUCUAAGGCGCCAGAAUCAGGCUAUUUAUAGCUUAUCUGGUCUUCGGGCGUGGGUUCGAAUCCCACUGUUGUCA